rnacentral:rRNA from 1 species
UGCAGUCGAGCGGACAGAUGGGAGCUUGCUCCCUGAUGUUAGCGGCGGACGGGUGAGUAACACGUGGGUAACCUGCCUGUAAGACUGGGAUAACUCCGGGAAACCGGGGCUAAUACCGGAUGGUUGUUUGAACCGCAUGGUUCAGACAUAAAAGGUGGCUUCGGCUACCACUUACAGAUGGACCCGCGGCGCAUUAGCUAGUUGGUGAGGUAACGGCUCACCAAGGCGACGAUGCGUAGCCGACCUGAGAGGGUGAUCGGCCACACUGGGACUGAGACACGGCCCAGACUCCUACGGGAGGCAGCAGUAGGGAAUCUUCCGCAAUGGACGAAAGUCUGACGGAGCAACGCCGCGUGAGUGAUGAAGGUUUUCGGAUCGUAAAGCUCUGUUGUUAGGGAAGAACAAGUGCCGUUCAAAUAGGGCGGCACCUUGACGGUACCUAACCAGAAAGCCACGGCUAACUACGUGCCAGCAGCCGCGGUAAUACGUAGGUGGCAAGCGUUGUCCGGAAUUAUUGGGCGUAAAGGGCUCGCAGGCGGUUUCUUAAGUCUGAUGUGAAAGCCCCCGGCUCAACCGGGGAGGGUCAUUGGAAACUGGGGAACUUGAGUGCAGAAGAGGAGAGUGGAAUUCCACGUGUAGCGGUGAAAUGCGUAGAGAUGUGGAGGAACACCAGUGGCGAAGGCGACUCUCUGGUCUGUAACUGACGCUGAGGAGCGAAAGCGUGGGGAGCGAACAGGAUUAGAUACCCUGGUAGUCCACGCCGUAAACGAUGAGUGCUAAGUGUUAGGGGGUUUCCGCCCCUUAUGCUGCAGCUAACGCAUUAAGCACUCCGCCUGGGGAGUACGGUCGCAAGACUGAAACUCAAAGGAAUUGACGGGGGCCCGCACAAACGGUGGAGCAGGUGGUUUAAUUCGAAACAGCGCAGAGAACCUUACCAGGUCGUGACGUCCGCUGACAAACCUAGAGAUAGGACUUCGCCUUCGG